rnacentral:rRNA from 1 species
CGGGUGCACUGAUCCAGCCGGGCCUUUCCCUCUGUGGAACCCCAUGGCCUUCACUGGCUGUGGUGGGGAAACAGGACUUUUACUUUGAAAAAAUUAGAGUGCUCCAGGCAGGCCUAUGCUCGAAUACAUUAGCAUGGAAUAAUAGAAUAGGACGUGUGGUUCUAUUUUGUUGGUUUCUAGGACCGCCGUAAUGAUUAAUAGGGACAGUCGGGGGCAUCAGUAUUCAAUUGUCAGAGGUGAAAUUCUUGGAUCUAUUGAAGACUAACUACUGCGAAAGCAUUUGCCAAGGAUGUUUUCAUUGAUAAGGAACGAAAGUUAGGGGAUCGAAGACGAUCAGAUACCGUCGUAGUCUUAACUAUAAACUAUGCCGACUAGGGAUCGGACGAUGUUAUUCUUUGACGCGUUCGGCACCUUUCGAGAAAUCAAAGUGCUUGGGCUCCAGGGGGAGUAUGGUCGCAAGGCUGAAACUUAAAGAAAUUGACGGAAGGGCACCACCAGGGGUGGAACCUGCGGCUUAAUUUGACUCAACACGGGGAAACUCACCAGGUCCAGACACAGUGAGGAUUGACAGAUUGAGAGCUCUUUCUUGAUUCUGUGGGUGGUGGCGCAUGGCCGUUCUUAGUUGGUGGAGUGAUUUGUCUGCUUAAUUGCGAUAACGAACGAGACCUUAACCUGCUAAAUAGCCCGUACUGCUUUGGCAGUUCGCCGGCUUCUUAGAGGGACUAUCGG